rnacentral:rRNA from 1 species
GUGCCAGCCGCCGCGGUAAUACCGGCAGCUCGAGUGAUGUCCAAUAUUAUUGGGCCUAAAGCGUCCGUAGCUGGCUGCGCAAGUCCGUCGGGAAAUCCACUCGCCCAACGAGUGGGCGUCCGACGGAAACUGCACAGCUUGGGACCGGAAGGCUCGAAGGGUACGUCCGGGGUAGGAGUGAAAUCCUGUAAUCCUGGACGGACCGCCGGUGGCGAAAGCGCCUCGGGAAGACGGACCCGACAGUGAGGGACGAAAGCUGGGAUCUCGAACCGGAUUAGAAACCCCGGUAGUCC